GAUUUGAGGAGACCGUGCCUGACUGAAAGCGCAAAGACGAAUGCCACGGGCUGCGUCUCUGUCGCGGUUGACGCGUCAUUGUUUUUCAAGGUCAAAGUUGAAGAGCGAACGCAAGAGACGCGUCUUGUGAAUGUUACUCGGGAGGGAACAGAUACACACACGUGGCCAACCCGUACCCGGUCGAGCCUGAGUGGAAGCGUGCCGCGAUCCGUUCGACUCCAUUCUGCUUGGUGAUUUGAGCAGACCGCGCCUGACUGAAAGCGCAAAGCCAGACGAAUGCCACGGGCUGUCGCGGUUGACGCGUCAUUGUUUUUCAACGGCAAAAUUGAAGAGCGAACGCGAGAGACGCGUCUCGUGAAUGUUACU